UUUUGGACAAUGGGGGCAACCCUGAUCCAGCAAUGCCGCGUGAGUGAAGAAGGCCUUCGGGUUGUAAAGCUCUUUUGUCAGGGAAGAAACACCGGCUCUAACACAGUCCGGGAAUGACGGUACCUGAAGAAUAAGCACCGGCUAACUACGUGCCAGCAGCCGCGGUAAUACGUAGGGUGCAAGCGUUAAUCGGAAUUACUGGGCGUAAAGCGUGCGCAGGCGGUUAUACAAGACAGGCGUGAAAUCCCCGGGCUUAACCUGGGAAUGGCGCCUGUGACUGUAUAGCUAGAGUGUGUCAGAGGGGGGUAGAAUUCCACGUGUAGCAGUGGAAUGCGUAGAUAUGUGGAGGAAUACCAAUGGCGAAGGCAGCCCCCUGGGAUAACACUGACGCUCAUGCACGAA
rnacentral:rRNA from 1 species